rnacentral:tRNA from 1 species
GCCUGGGUGGCUCAGUCGGUUGAGUGUCCGACUUCGGCUCAGGUCAUGAUUUCACAAUCUGUGAGUUCGAGCCCCACGUCAGGCU